rnacentral:rRNA from 1 species
AUUGAACGCUGGCGGCAUGCUUUACACAUGCAAGUCGAACGGCAGCGCGGGCUUCGGCCUGGCGGCGAGUGGCGAACGGGUGAGUAAUACAUCGGAACGUGCCCAGUAGUGGGGGAUAGCUCGGCGAAAGCCGGAUUAAUACCGCAUACGACCUGAGGGUGAAAGCGGGGGAUCUUCGGACCUCGCGCUAUUGGAGCGGCCGAUGGCAGAUUAGCUAGUUGGUGGGGUAAAGGCCUACCAAGGCGACGAUCUGUAGCUGGUCUGAGAGGACGACCAGCCACACUGGGACUGAGACACGGCCCAGACUCCUACGGGAGGCAGCAGUGGGGAAUGUUGGACAAUGGGCGAAAGCCUGAUCCAGCAAUGCCGCGUGUGUGAUGAAGGCCUUCGGGUUGUAAAGCACUUUUGGCGGGAACGAAAAGGACUGUGCCAAUACCACGGUUCGAUGACGGUACCCGCAGAAUAAGCACCGGCUAACUACGUG